UUUUAUUAGAAAUAAUUAAUAAUAAAGUCUGCUCAAUGAAAAUUAAAUAGCCGCUUAUGUGCUAAGGUAGCAUAAUAAUUUGUCUUUUAAUUAAAGACUAGAACAAAAGACUUAACAUCUUAAAUAAUCUUUAUAUAAAAAUUAUUUAAAUUAUUUUAAUUGUAAAAAAACAAUUAUUUAAUAGAAAGACGAUAAGACCCUAUCGAACUUUACUUUAGUUUAACUGGGGUAGUUAAUUAAUUAUUAUUUUAAAAAAACUAAAUUUUCAAUUUGACCUAAUAUAAUUAACCAAAUAAUUAAGUUACCGUAGGGAUAACAGCACAAUAAAGUUUUUUAGAUCUUAUUUAAAAUAAAGAUUGUGACCUCGAUGUUGAUUAAUAUCCUAUUUCACGCAAUAGUAAAACUAAGGAAGUCUGUUCGACUUUUAAAAAAUUACA
rnacentral:rRNA from 1 species